CCUACGGGAGGCUGCAGUGAGGAAUAUUGGUCAAUGGGCGUAAGCCUGAACCAGCCAAGUCGCGUGAGGGAUGGAGGUUCUAUGGAUCGUAAACCUCUUUUAUAAGGGAAUAAAGUGUGGGACGUGUCCUAUUUUGUAUGUACCUUAUGAAUAAGGAUCGGCUAACUCCGUGCCAGCAGCCGCGGUAAUACGGAGGAUCAGAGCGUUAUCCGGAUUUAUUGGGUUUAAAGGGUGCUUGGGCGGCCUUUAAGUCAGCGGUGAAAGCCUGUGGCUCAACGGUAGAAUUGCCGUUGAAUCUGGGGGGCUUGAGUAUGUUUGAGGCAGGCGGAAUGCGUGGUGUAGCGGUGAAAUGCUUAGAUAUCACGCAGAACCCCGAUUGCGAAGGCAGCCUGCCAAGCCAUGACUGACGCUGAUGCACGAAAGCGUGGGGAUCAAACAGGAUUAGAUACCCCAGUAGUC
rnacentral:rRNA from 1 species